UACGUAGGGGGCAAGCGUUGUCCGGAUUUAUUGGGCGUAAAGAGCGUGUAGGCGGCUAGGUAGGUCCGUUGUGAAAACUCGAGGCUCAACCUCGAGACGCCGGUGGAAACCAUCUAGCUAGAGUCCGGAAGAGGAGAGUGGAAUUCCUGGUGUAGCGGUGAAAUGCGCAGAUAUCAGGAAGAACACCCGUGGCGAAGGCGGCUCUCUGGGACGUGACUGACGCUGAGACGCGGAAGCGUGGGGAGCAAACAGG
rnacentral:rRNA from 1 species